rnacentral:ribozyme from 14 species
UUCUUUUUUUUUCUUUUCCUUUUGUCUUUGGUUUCUUUUUCUUUUUCU